rnacentral:rRNA from 1 species
GUGCCAGCAGCCGCGGUAAUACGUAGGUGGCAAGCGUUGUCCGGAAUUAUUGGGCGUAAAGCGCGCGCAGGCGGGAUAUCAAGUCUGUCUUAAAAGUGCGAGGCUCAACCUCGUGAGGGGACGGAAACUGGUAUUCUUGAGUGUCGGAGAGGAAAGUGGAAUUCCAAGGGUAGCGGUGAAAUGGGAAGAGAGUUGGAAGAACACCAGUGGCGAAGGCGACUUUCUGGACGAUGUCUGACGCUGAGGCGCGAAA